rnacentral:rRNA from 1 species
AGCCGAUGAAGGACGUAGGAGGCUGCGAUAAGCCUCGGGGAGCUGUC